GGGCUACUAGCUCAAGUGGUAGAGCAGCUGACUCUUAAUCAGCGGGCUCCAGGUUCGAGUCCUGGGUGGCCCACCA
rnacentral:tRNA from 1 species